rnacentral:rRNA from 1 species
CGGGACGGGUGAGUAAUGUCUGGGAAACUGCCCGAUGGAGGGGGAUAACUACUGGAGACGGUAGCUAAUACCGCAUAACGUCGCAAGACCAAAGAGGGGGACCUUCGGGCCUCUUGCCAUCGGAUGUGCCCAGAUGGGAUUAGCUAGUAGGUGGGGUAACGGCUCACCUAGGCGACGAUCCCUAGCUGGUCUGAGAGGAUGACCAGCCACACUGGAACUGAGACACGGUCCAG